GGGGUCGUGGUUUAGUGGUAUAAUGCGUUCGUCUCAACCCAACCAUAUCAGCAUCAACAAUAACUAACAAUCUCCCAGAUCCUUAGCACUCAGCAGUUUGGAUGAGGUCCGGGGUUCGAUUCCCCGCGACUCCA